AUGAACUAAAUGAAAAAGGAAAAUCCCCUAAGGGUGUUCCUAGACUGGCAAUGAAAGAAAAAUUGACAAUAAAAGUAAAAGAAAAAAAUACCCACAAGUCCUAAGAAGUAUUGUAUAUAGAUUAAAGGGAAGUAAAUAGAGGAGCAAAAAUGUGCUACCUAAAAUCGUUACUAGUGUCCUUGUUACACUGAUAAUGAAAAUAAAUCUUUAUUGAGUCUUGAAAAAGUAACAAAAGGACACUAUGUUGAAAUUGCCCCCCCCCCCCCCCUAAGAAAAUGAUAAGAAGAUCAAUCCUAUGGUAAAGAAUAGUAAUUGGAAGUACCUAUUUUAUACCUAUAGGGGGAGUAAGCACAACCCUCUAAGUAUAUGGGUGCAGGCAGGAGCUACAAAAGACACAAUAGUAGUGCUAAAAUUAUCAGAGGAAGGGGAGAUAGAAUAAUAUGUAUCCCCAAACAGCAAAAGAUCCUAUCUGUGUCUAUAAUAAAGCUUAUAACCAGUGGAGCUGGGCUAGUGGAGGAAUUGUAAAAUAUUAGAGAAAAUUCCCAGCGAAAAAAAUCCUCAAAACUAGUCCCUAAUCUCCUGGAAACACAUUCGAGGGUGUUCUAAGCUAAGUCUAAAUCUUAGAGUAGCCUGCCUGAUCUGCCAUAACCAAUACUGGUUAGGAGUAGCACUGAAAAAUAAUAAUAAGUGGGUCUAAAAGCCCAUAGUGCAACAAAGUGUCCCUUAGUACAUAAGUGAAGUGAAAAAGAUAGACGAGCUA